rnacentral:misc_RNA from 1 species
AGGGAACAACUAUGUGGAAUGUCCGUCGGGUUCCUACCAAGUCGAAUUUUCCUCCAAUUGCACUGACAACUGCCCUCCUAAUGCACCGUAUAUAGUGUCCGAUUGAUGUUUGGACUACUGUCCUGUGGGUUUAAAUAACACGUGUAAUAGGAAAGAUGCUAUCCCACAAACAACUGCAACAAUACCUGAUAAAACAGCAGUCUUGCGAUGCCCAAAAGGAUUAUGUCCGAAGGAGAGACCGUUUUGUUUUGACUAUCAUUGUUUGUCAGAUUGUCCACAUGAAAUGGUUAGGGAGGACUUUUCAUGCGUCUAUCAUUGUUUUAAUGCGACAUCGAUGGUGUACAACAAAUCAUGUGUGACCGAAUGUCCCCGAGACUCUCCCUUCAAUGAAUCGGGUAUUUGUGUUUCAAAAUGUUCAACUUAUAAUAUACUUUAUGGUAGCGUUUGUAUCCGUGACUGCCCAGUCAACAUGUUUCGGUAUAAUAAGACGUGUACAACAUCAUGUCCAAAACUAGCGCCUUUCGAUUUCGAGGCUUUAAAUACAAAAUUUUGCUUGGAAUCUUGUCCGGACUUCACUUUAGUUCAUCGACAUGUGUGUAAGCUACAGUGUCCGGAUGGAUUCUUUCUUUGGAACAGAACGUGUGUUAGAACGUGUCCAGACUCUGCCCCAAUUAUCUAUGUAUUGAACAAAAGAGUCCCACAAUUUAAAAUUCCGAUUUGUAUUACAAACUGCCCCGAUGACACGUUUUCGGACGGUAUUUCGUGUGUAAAAACCUGCGACAAGAAUAUGUAUGUGUUUAAUUCAACCUGUGUUGACCGCUGUCCUACCAGCCACAGACUGUUGGAGGGCAGUACAUCACCAUAUUCCUGCGUCUCACAAUGUCGAAUCGCGGAAAAUUUGAACGACAAUCGUUGCACUGCGGAGUGUCCAGACGACAAAUUAGUUUUUGAUAGAACAUGUGUCUCUGAAUGUCCCAUAUCUAAUCCGUUGGUAUUAAAUCAGGAAUGUCUCUCUCAAUGUCCCAUAUAUUUAUUGAAUGAAUCUGGGACAUGUGUUUCACGCUGCAGUAAGGGACAUUACAUGUUCAAUAGGUAUUGUGUAAAGAGAUGCCCAGAAACACACAGAUAUAUGGCUUACGGGAAAUGCAAUACUAAUUGUUCAAUUUACAAUUUACUGAUUUGGAAUAAUUCAUGUUUCUCUUCCUGUCCUAAACAGGCAAUGUACACCUUCAAUCAAACAUGCUUAACGGUUUGUCCACUCUCCCAUCCUUUUGAUAAAAGCGGACGAACAUCAAGAUAUUCCUAUCAAGUGAUACACUACUGUGUUGCGUCCUGUAGUGAUAACAUUAGUCCUGCGAUUUUUAUAUAUGGUGGUAAAUGCAAAUGUUCAGCACACUUACUCUCUCAUAAUUUUACAUGUGUUGAAAACUGCCCUUCGCCAUAUAACUUGGUUCAUAACGGAGAGUGUCUUACACAGUGCCCUAAUCACUUCGUAGGUUACAAUAACACAUGUCAAGCCUCGUGUCCGGAACAUGCUAAAUAUGUAUACGAUGGUUUGUGUAGAGAGGCGUGUCCAUCGUCACAUCCGUAUUAUGCAGCGGCAUUAUCGUAUCCAAAUUCAUUAACUUGUCUCGAAUCAUGCACUGAUAGCAACAAAAGUCCGGGAAGGUUUUUAUAUAACAUGACAUGUGUAAAACGGUGUCCUAAUGCAACUGUUUUAUAUGGAUCAAAUUGCAUCCAAAAAUGUCCCUUAGAUAACUCCCUGAUAUAUAAAAAGGAGGACAACGGAAACUAUAUAAUAGUGUGUGUAGAUAAGUGCCCAGUGACAACCUUCACAAGAGGAAAGAAUUGUUAUGACCAGUGUCCAGAACCCUUAGCUUCCUAUUUGCCGAACCGCACGUGUUUAGAGCAAUGUCCUAAACAUAGAAGAUUUCGUUAUCGAUUUAGAACGAACGUUAAUACUUUUACUUACAGAUGCAAGUCAUCAUGUGACAAAAUUAUUUUCGAUAGCACUAGUUGUGUGGAUGUUUGUCCCCCCGACACCCCGUUUGAAUUUGGUCAAACUUGUGUUCGUAAAUGUCCAGCAACACACAUGUUCCACGAACAACAGAAAUACAGAUGCUUGGCAGAAUGCAAACCCCCUCUGGUUGAAGUCAAUCACACAUGUUUCAGAUCUUGCCCUGCAAGUAUUCCCUUUUUAAUGAACAAUACUUGUGUUGAAAAAUGUCCAAAACCGUUCAAUAUGACAUCACCUUCCUUUCAAGGUCCUACAUGUGUACGUAAAUGUUUACAUCCGUUGCUCCGAGAAAACAACAAAUGCACACAGGCCUGUACUGGCAAGUUUAUUGUCAACAAUGUAUGUGAAGACAUUAUCGGAUGUCCGAAUGAAUACAGAUAUAUAGAGAAGUCUUCACGCGGAACAAUUUGUCGAAAAGUCUGUCAGGAAAACGAGUUCGUUUUCGAAGAUGUACAAUGCACAAAGAAGUGUCCGAAGUUCGAUGUAGAAAACCAGUGUGUCGAGAGUUGCCCAGAUACACAUCCCUACACAGUAAAGCUUAUAUAUUCAUUUAAAAGGGACUCCACGUGUUAUUCAACCUGUCCAAAGCUUACAUAUGACAACUCUUGUGUUAACUCAUGUCCCCCUUCCUAUCUUGUGUUCAAAUCUAAAAAAACGUGUGUCAAGGAAUGUCCAGCAUCAGAUCCCAUUAAAUCAAACGGCGAAUGUCUGAAAACGUGUCCGGGGUCAAAGAUUGCUUCGGAGAAAAAUACAUGCAUAGACAAAUUCGAAUGUGAUAGUUCUAAAGGAUUACAUGUCUACGACUCAAAAUGUGUCACACAAUGCCCCAGUGGAACGUAUCGUAACUAUCAAGAUAACACCUGUAGUCCGAUGUCACUUGGUUAUAUUCUUCUCAUUACUGUGCUGGCUGUAAUCGGUAUAACCUGCCUCUUUGGAGCAUAUUUGGUGUUCAGAAGGAACAGUUUUUAUAGGCAGAAACUUAUAAGUAACAAUGUUGAACAAGCAGAAACAGAUGACGGAUGUCUUACUUUGGAGAUAGACGCUACAGACGAUGCAGUAGGGCACGAAUGCGAUGCUUCGGCUUUAGAAAUGUAUAACAAUUCUCCAGGGUACCGACAAAAUACUCCGACAAUACAAACAAUGGAUGAUUCCUCAAGGUACAAUGACGAUACACAGCCAAGAGGUGCUGUGGACGAUUCGUCAAGGUACAAACAGAAUACACAGCCAGACGGGACUUUGGACGAUUCGUCAAGGUCCAAACAGGAUAAGCCGCCAAUGGAGAUUGUGGACGUUUCGCCAAGAUACAAACACGAUACACCGUAAAUAGAGAUUGAGGACGAUCCGUCAAGGUACAAAAACGAUACACAGCAAAUAGCGAUUGUGGACUAUUCGUCAAGUUACAAACAGGAUACACAGCCGCAUCUUGCUGAGGACGAUUCGUCAAUUUACAAACACGAUAUACAGCAAAUAAAGUAUAUAAACGAUCCGUCAAGGUACAUACACGAUACACCGCCAAAAUGUGCUGUGGACGAUUCGUCAAGGUGCAAACACGAUACACCGCCUAAAGAGAUUAUGGACGAUUCGUCAAGGUACAAACACUAUACCAAGCCAAUAGAUACUGUGAGCGAUUUGUAAUGGUACAAACACGACACACCGCCAAUAGGGACUGUGAACGAUUCGUCAAGGUACAAAUACGAUAAACCGCCAAUACGAAACACCGCCAAAAUGUGCUGUGGACGAUAUGUCAAGGUACAAACACGAUACAUCGUCAAAAUGUGCUGUGGACGAUAUGUCAAGGUACAAAUACAAUACACCAGAUUGUGGUUGAUUCGUCAAAGUAAAAAGCAUUUUAUGAUUGUGACUAUCGUAUUUAAUUCAUUUUUGCUGUAAACGGUUUGAGUAUAGCUGUAAAUAUCGUAUUUAAUUCAUUUUUGCUUUAAAUUGUUUGAAUCUAACUGUGACUAUCGUAUUUAAUUAUUUUUUGCUGUAAAUUGUUUGAAUCUAGCUAUGACUAUCGUAUUUAAUUCAUUUUUGCUGUAAACGGUUUGAAUAUAGCUGUAAAUAUCGUAUUUAAUUCAUUUUUGCUUUAGAUUGUUUGAAUCUAACUGUGACUAUCGUAUUUAAUUAUUUUUUACUGUAAAUUGUUUGAAUCUAGCUAUGACUAUCGUAUUUAAUUCAUUUUUGCUGUAAAUUGUUUGAAUCUAGCUGUGUAUAUUGUAUUUAAUUCAUUUUUGCUGUUAAUUGUUUGAAUAUAACUGUGACUAUCGUACUUGAGUCAAUUUUGCUGUAAUUUGUUUGUGUUACUAUCGUAUUUAAUUCAUUUUUGCUGUAAAUUGUUUGAAUCUAGCUGUGAUUAUCGUAUUUAAUUCAUUUUUGCUGUAAACGGUUUGAAUAUAGCUGUUAAUAUCGUAUUUAAUUCAUUUUUGCUUUAAAUUGUUUGAAUCUAACUGUGACUGUCGUAUUCAAUUA